GCUCCUGUUCAGUAAACAACAGCUUCCACAGUAACAGAUUUAUAGAACAUGCAAAUCUGAUAAAAAUUUUGAAGGGGAUUUUUAUAGAUGUCGUAAAAAAUUUAUGUGUUUAUAUAUGAUACAUCUAUAAAGGAUUUUUACAUAUCUAACACUUAAAACUCUUUUAUUUACUCACCUAACACCUAAAGUUUUCUAUUUACACACCUACCAGAUAAAAUAUAUUCACUUCAUCUAAAAUACCACUCUUGUUACCUCCCAUCAAAACCUCACACCGAUAUGAAAGUCAGGGUUGCAUGCAACAACUCUUCUUCACUCCGCAACUUCUGUUCGCAUCGCCAUUUCGUCUUCUCCAUUUAUUUGCGUAGUUAUUGUGGGUUUGCGAAAUGAGUUCGAACCGCUUGACGACACAAAUGCAAAACCUAGACAACCCAAUAUAUUGUCGUUGCAAUCUGCAAUGUACAAUCUAUACUUGCUAUAAAGCUAAUAAUCGUGGCAGAAAGUUCAAUCGAUGUCCCCGGAACAGAUCAGAAAAUGAUUGUUGAUUUUUUAGGUGGUUUGACGAGAGAAAUGGCUUUUUGAAAGGUAUGAAUCGUUUUACAAGUGCAAAUGCAGCUGAAGUUCGUUUCAACGAUGCUGUCUCAGUUACAACUGAGUUUCUUCAAAUUAAAAUGUUAUUGGUGAUCCUCAUUUUGCUUGUUGCAGUUGCCUUAAAUUCUAUAUCAGAGUGUUGUAAUUGUAAAUGAACAUAAUCCUCAUUUUGCUUGUGUAAUUCUGUAAAUGCCCGACGUUCUGUAGAAGUUGAACGUUUUAAAGCUUGAAGUUUUUUAUCUAUAUCCAGUAAUUGGUUA